GUGAGUGUAGCUCAGUUGGUUAGAGCUCCUGAUUGUGGUCCAGGAGGUCGUCGGUUCAAGUCCGAUCACUCACCCCA
rnacentral:tRNA from 1 species